UAGCCUAGUGGUUAAGGCUAUGGCUCGCCAAUCCAGAGACGGCGGGUUCGAUUCCCGU
rfam:Aedes albopictus isolate Foshan contig7798, whole genome shotgun sequence.